UACGUAGGAUGCAAGCGUUGUCCGGAAUUACUGGGCGUAAAGGGCGAGCAGGUGGCACUACAAGUCUGAUGUAAAAUCUCCCGGCUUAACUGGGAGGGGCCAUUGGAAACUGUAGAGCUGGAGUGCAGGAGAGGCUAACGGAAUUCCCGGUGUAGUGGUGAAAUGCGUAGAUAUCGGGAGGAACACCAGUGGCGAAGGCAGCUCGCUGGGACGUUACUGACGCUGAGACGCGAAAGCGUGGGGAGCAAACAGG
rnacentral:rRNA from 1 species